AUUGAACGCUGGCGGCAGGCCUAACACAUGCAAGUCGAGCGGAGCGGGGGACGGGUGAGUAAUGGCGAGGAAUAUGCCUGGUAGAGGGGGAUAAUGGCCGGAAAUGGGCGCUAAUACCGCAUACUAUCAGAUGAGUCUAGGCCGGAUUAGCUAGUUGGAGGGGGAAAGGCCUACCAAGGCGACGAUCCGUAUCUGGUGUGAGAGGAUGAUAAGUCACACGGGAACGGAGACACGGUCCAGACUCCUACGGGAGGCAGCAGUGGGGAAUAUUGGACAAUGGGCGAAAGCCUGAUCCAGCCAUGCCGCGUGUUUGAAGAAGGUCUUCGGAUUGUAAAGCACUUUAAGUUGGGAGGCGUUACCCGCAGAAGAAGCACCGGCUAACUCCGUGCCAGCAGCCGCGGUAAUUC
rnacentral:rRNA from 1 species